UACGUAGGGUGCGAGCGUUAAUCGGAAUUACUGGGCGUAAAGCGUGCGCAGGCGGUUUUGUAAGUUUGUCGUGAAAUCCCCGGGCUCAACCUGGGAAUUGCAUUUGUGACUGCACGGCUAGAGUGUGUCAGAGGGGGGUAGAAUUCCACGUGUAGCAGUGAAAUGCGUAGAGAUGUGGAGGAAUACCGAUGGCGAAGGCAGCCCCCUGGGAUAACACUGACGCUCAUGGCACGAAAGCGUGGGGAGCAAACAGG
rnacentral:rRNA from 1 species